rnacentral:rRNA from 1 species
UGUCUCAGUGCAGCCAAACUAAGGUCGAAACCGCGAAUGGCUCAUUAAAUCAGUUAUGGUUCCUUAGAUCGUACCAAAUUACUUGGAUAACUGUGGUAAUUCUAGAGCUAAUACAUGCAAACAGAGUCCCGACCAGAAAUGGAAGGGACGCUUUUAUUAGAUCAAAACCAAUCGGUCGGUUUUCCGUUCCGUUUGACUUGGUGACUCUGAAUAACUUUGGGCUGAUCGCACGGUCAUGGUACCGGCGACGCAUCUUUCAAAUGUCUGCCUUAUCAACUGUCGAUGGUAGGUUCUGCGCCUACCAUGGUUGUAACGGGUAACGGGGAAUCAGGGUUCGAUUCCGGAGAGGGAGCCUGAGAAACGGCUACCACAUCCAAGGAAGGCAGCAGGCGCGCAAAUUACCCACUCCCGGCACGGGGAGGUAGUGACGAAAAAUAACGAUACGGGACUCAUCCGAGGCCCCGUAAUCGGAAUGAAUACACUUUAAAUCCUUUAAUGAGUAUCCAUUGGAGGGCAAGUCUGGUGCCACACCGCGGUAAUUCCAGCUCCAAUAGCGUCGUUUAAAUUGUUGCGGUUAAAAAGCUCGUAGUUGGAUUUGGUGUCCCACGCUGUCGGUUCAUCGCUCGUACGGUGUCUAACUGGCAUGAUUCGUGGGACGUCCUGCCGGUGGUGGCGAGUCGAAGGCGUGCAGCCUUAGUGGUUUCCACUUUGGUUCUUGUGCGCCGGAGGCGGACCCCGAUGAAAUCCUACCGCGGUGCUCUUCGCCGAGUGUCGAGGUGGGCCGGCACGUUUACUUUGAACAAAUUAGAGUGCUUAAAGCAGGCCUGUUGCGCCUGAAUACUGUGUGCAUGGAAUAAUGGAAUAGGACCUCGGUUCUAUUUUGUUGGUUUUCGGAACCCGAGGUAAUGAUUAAUAGGGACAGGCGGGGGCAUUCGUAUUGCGACGUUAGAGGUGAAAUUCUUGGAUCGUCGCAAGACGGACCGAAGCGAAAGCAUUUGCCAAGUAUGUUUUCAUUAAUCAAGAACGAAAGUUAGAGGUUCGAAGGCGAUCAGAUACCGCCCUAGUUCUAACCAUAAACGAUGCCAGCUAGCGAUCCGCCGAAGUUCCUCCGAUGACUCGGCGGGCAGCUCCCGGGAAACCAAAGCUUUUGGGUUCCGGGGGAAGUAUGGUUGCAAAGCUGAAACUUAAAGGAAUUGACGGAAGGGCACCACCAGGAGUGGAGCCUGCGGCUUAAUUUGACUCAACACGGGAAACCUCACCAGGCCCGGACACCGGAAGGAUUGACAGAUUGAGAGCUCUUUCUGAUUCGGUGGGUGGUGGUGCAUGGCCGUUUUAGUUGGUGGAGCGAUUUGUCUGGUUAAUUCCGAUAACGAACGAGACUCUAGCCUGCUAAAUAGUCGCAUCCGGUAUCCCUUCGUGCUACCGGCGACAACACAUCUUCUUAGAGGGACAGGCGGCUUCUAGCCGCACGAGAUUGAGCAAUAACAGGUCUGUGAUGCCCUUAGAUGUUCUGGGCCGCACGCGCGCUACACUGAAGGAAUCAGCGUGUCCUCCUAGUCCGAAAGGACCGGGCAACCCGUUGAACCUCCUUCGUGCUAGGGAUUGGGGCUUGCAAUUGUUCCCCAUGAACGAGGAAUUCCCAGUAAGCGCGAGUCAUAAGCUCGCGUUGAUUACGUCCCUGCCCUUUGUACACACCGCCCGUCGCUACUACCGAUUGAAUGAUUUAGUGAGGUCUUCGGACCGGUGCGCGGCCUUUGCCACGUGCUUUUUCCGAUGUUGCGGAAAAGAUGACCAAACUUGAUUAUUA